rnacentral:rRNA from 1 species
CCUACGGGGUGCAGCAGUGAGGAAUAUUGGUCAAUGGACGGAAGUCUGAACCAGCCAUGCCGCGUGCAGGAAGACGGCUCUAUGAGUUGUAAACUGCUUUUGUACAAGGGUAAACCUGAAUACGUGUAUUCAGCUGAAAGUACUGUACGAAUAAGGAUCGGCUAACUCCGUGCCAGCAGCCGAGGUAAGACGGAGGAUCCAAGGGUUAUCCGGAUUUGUUGGGUUUAAAGGGUGCGUAGGGGGAUGGAUAAGUUAGAGGGAAAAUGUCCGCGCUUAACUCGGGAACUGCCUCGAUACUGGUGAUCUAGAGAGUAGAAGCGGUAGGCGGAAUGUAAGGUGUAGCGGUGAAAUGCUUAGAGAUC